UACGAAGGGUGCAAGCGUUACUCGGAAUUACUGGGCGUAAAGCGUGCGUAGGUGGUGAGUUAAGUCUGUCGUGAAAGCCCCGGGCUCAACCUGGGAAUGGCGAUGGAUACUGGCUCGCUAGAGUGCGGUAGAGGAGAGUGGAAUUCCCGGUGUAGCAGUGAAAUGCGUAGAGAUCGGGAGGAACAUCAGUUGCGAAGGCGGCCACCUGG
rnacentral:rRNA from 1 species